AUGUGGGAGGAAUGCUUGCCUCAUAUUGAAUUUGCUUAUAAUCGUUCAUUGCAUUCUACUACUAAGAUGUGCCCUUUUGAAGUUGUGUAUGGUUUCCUACCUCGUGCACCUAUUGAUUUGUUGCCUCUUCCAUCUUCGGAGAAGGUUAAUUUUGAUGCUAAACAACGUGCUGAAUUGAUUUUAAAAAUGCAUGAGUUAACUAAGGAAAACAUUGAGCGUAUGAAUGCUAAAUAUAAACUAGCUGGAGAUAAGGGUAGAAAACAUGUUGUGUUUGCACCUGGAGAUCUUGUUUGGUUACAUUUGCGUAAGGAUAGAUUUCCUGAUUUGCGCAAAUCAAAGUUAAUGCCACGUGCUGAUGGUCCCUUUAAGGUGUUAGAGAAAAUAAAUGAUAAUGCAUAUAAACUUGAGCUGCCUGCAGAUUUUGGGGUUAGUCCCACUUUUAACAUUGCAGAUUUGAAGCCUUAUUUGGGUGAGGAAGAUGAACUUCCGUCGAGGACGACUUCAUUUCAAGAAGGGGAGGAUGAUGAGGACAUCAAUACAAUUGUUACACCCACAGCCCCUGCUGCUAUACAUACUGGACCAAUUACUAGAGCUCGUGCGCGCCAACUAAAUUACCAGGAAACAGACCCUCGUGGUCAGGUUGAUCGUGCUCCGGCGUGGUCAAUAACCUCUCGGAGUUGGUUUAGCGAUUGCUAA
rnacentral:rRNA from 1 species